AACGAACGCUGGCGGCAUGCCUAACACAUGCAAGUCGAACGAGACCUUCGGGUCUAGUGGCGCACGGGUGCGUAACGCGUGGGAACCUGCCCUUAGGUUCGGAAUAACUCCCCGAAAGGGGUGCUAAUACCGGAUAAUGUCUUCGGACCAAAGAUUUAUCGCCUUUGGAUGGGCCCGCGUUGGAUUAGCUAGUUGGUAGGGUAAAAGCCUACCAAGGCGACGAUCCAUAGCUGGUCUGAGAGGAUGAUCAGCCACACUGGGACUGGGACACGGCCCAGACUCCUACGGGAGGCAGCAGUGGGGAAUAUUGGACAAUGGGCGAAAGCCUGAACCAGCAAUGCCGCGUGAGUGAUGAAGGGCUUAGGGUUGUAAAGCUCUUUUACCCGGGAUGAUAAUGACAGUACCGGGAGAAUAAGCUCCGGCUAACUCCGU
rnacentral:rRNA from 1 species